GACGAACGCUGGCGGCGUGCUUAACACAUGCAAGUCGAACGAAGUGGCGAACGGGUGAGUAACGCGUAAUCAACCUGCCCUUCAGAGGGGGACAACAGUUGGAAACGACUGCUAAUACCGCAUACUGAUGGAGGGGUUUGCGUCUGAUUAGCUCGUUGGAGGGGUAACGGCCCACAAAGGCGAUGAUAAGUAGGCGGUGUGGGGGGAUGAACGGCCAAAUGGGGACUGAGAAACGGCCCAGACUCCUACGGGAGGCAGCAGUGGGGAAUCUUCCGAAAUGGACGAAAGUCUGACGGAGCAACGCCGCGGGAGUGAUGACGGCCUUCGGGUUGGAAAGCGCUGUUAAGCGGGACGCGGUACCGGAAUAGAAAGCCACGGCUAACUACGUGCCAGCAGCCGCGGUAAUAC
rnacentral:rRNA from 1 species